UACGGGGGGUGCGAGCGUUGUCCGGAAUCACUGGGCGUAAAGGGCGCGUAGGUGGCGUCGUAAGUCUGUGGUGAAAGCCCGGAGCUCAACUCCGGGUCUGCCGCGGAUACUGCGAGGCUUGAGUGCUGUAGAGGGGGGUAGAAUGCCGGGUGUAGCGGUGGAAUGCGUAGAGAUCCGGCAGAACACCGGUGGCGAAGGCGGUGAGCUGGGCAGUUGCUGACACUGAGGCGCGACAGCGUGGGGAGCAAACAGG
rnacentral:rRNA from 1 species